UCGACAUAUUAGAUAUAUUCUCUACUCAGGUAACUUUCACAUUUAAAUUGCUGUAAAAUUAUACUAUACGUUGUUUGGUUUAAAAUUAAUUUACAUUUUUGAGGAAAAUAAAAUCACAAUAAAGUUGUCAAUGUGAAUAAAGGAUAGUGGAUAACGCGGUGCAAACGGAAUUGAAUGGCUUCACGCGUUUUAGUUAUGAUUAUUG
rnacentral:lncRNA from 1 species